GGAUGUAGCUCAGUGGUAGAGCCCUUGCCUAGCAUGCAGGAGGCCCUGGGUUCAAUCCCCAGUCAUGCA
rnacentral:tRNA from 1 species